UCAGUAACCAUUUCAUCUAACCAAACGGCCCCUACACUCCUCUUCAACCAAGCGUAACCCUAACUCACCCCUAGCCAAAAUCGCCGUCACUUCGAUCACGUCACGUCACCAUCACCGCAUCCAUCAGACCACAGAACCAAACACCCCACUCUCUCUUCAACCGAAAACCCUUAAGUUCGUUGGUUUGAAGCAAUAGCCGCCUCCACUGCUACCACGUCUUUUCCCCCUUUGAUUGACGUGGUGACAGAGCCGAUAGGAGAUCAUCAACCUCUGUGGAAGAGGAGUGCAAUGAACCGCCGGUUUCAAGCUCGACUCUUAUUCGACCCGGUGGGUAAAGUCUCGUCGGCUAUCAGACCCGCGAAUCCACUAGAUUCGGAGUCCCAACAAAUCCACAGCCAUCAAAUCUUAUCUGAAAAGCUGUAUUAUUUUGGUUGUUCUCGGCUAAGCAAGGAUUGCUUAAAGCGGAUUCGGAGACUCGACAACUACACUAGCCUCAGUUCGCUGUCCCGAAGAAGGUAAUCACACUCGUUUUCUCUUCGUCUUUAAUUCCUUAGAAGUAAAAUGUAGUCGUCGAGUCGUUUAUUCAUCUCGACCUAUUUAAAUCUGUUUGUUGCUCUGUGUGCUCUGAAUAUGUGACGAAAUGGUUAAUACAAGCUAUUAUACUUAGAAAGAAUGAUAAUUUAGCUUGAAGAACAUGUGAACAGUGAUGUCGUCUUGCUUUAAAUUAGUUUUCUUUAAUCUUGAGGGGCUGUUGCGAUUUACUUUUUUUUUGGGCACUUAUACAGUGUAGCUAAGGUUUUUCUGGUGACUUGAAUAAGAAUAAGAAUGCACUUUCUUGGUCUUGUUCAUAUGAUGUAUUGGUCGAAGAUGUAUAUAGGAAUAUGUAACUAAUUGAAGUGACUUUGUUGAGCUUAACUUCUGCUUGGGUGAUUAAUGAAUUCAUUUUUUCUUUCUUCAUAUUAUUGGUUCUGAAAAAUCGUAAGAAAAAUAGCUUCGGUCGUUCAACUUGUCGGAUGUGCGAUUAACAUGUUGCUCGUGUAAAUUCUAUUUUUCUUGGGGGGACUAUUUCGCCAUGAACCUUUCUUGAAAUCGAUGUAUAAAUAUUCUAUGGUAUCUUAUGACUUGAGAGGAAAAAGUUACUAUUUUGAUUGGAAAAAAAAGAAGAAGAGAAAGUUACUAUUUUGGUUAGAGAAAAAGGAUACUAUUUUGAUUAAAAAAAGAGAGUUGCUAUUUUGGUUAGACAACAAAGCUACUUAUCUUGAUUAAAGGAAAAGGUAAUGAUUCGUGAAAUUAAAUCUAUCGAUCAUGUGAAUAACUUCGUCGCUUGGCUAACUUUCCUGUUUCCGCAAGUUGUUCUUAUUUUCCAUCUAACUAAGUAGUUAACCUUCUUUUUUGUAUCGUUAUUUCACAAACGAAUAUCUAAAUAUAUGAACUGCCUCUUGCUUGUUUAACUUACUGUUAUAAGCAUGUUUUAUUGGUUUCUAUGCUUUUGACUGUCAAAAUAUAUGAGUAUUUGAAAGAGUGAUUGUUUUACUACAAUGAACUUUUUGGACGAAAAAUUAUCAUGAUUAACCUAGAUAUUUCUAUGAAAGGCUGUUAGCAGCACUCUGAAGGGAUUGUUUAGCCAUAACGCUCAAAAUAAAUAAAUAAAUGUACAUUAGUUUGGUUUGAAACUGAUUAGUAUCUGUUAAGUAGUCAGGGCAUAUUAUGGAUUUACACUCUAUGAUUGCUUGUAUGGUGCCAUUGAGCUUUAUGUUUUAAUAGAAAAACUUGCUUCCUUUAAGAUUCAAAUAAUUCAGUUUGGGAUUUUAUGACACGGAAACAUAAAAAAUGCAUUAUAGGGCAGUAGGUUGUCUGCUAUUUAAAUGUAUAAGAACAUAUCAUGAAAAAUUUGUUUGAAGCUUUGUCGCUGUUUUGUUUUCUCUUGUAUACCCCCCCCCCCCCCCCCCCCCCUUUUUUUUUUUUUUUUUUGACAAAGAAUAUCAAAGCAUAUAAAUUUUUAUGUAUUACCUGAGUCUGAAAAGACUUAUCUUGAAUUAGUGUUACGCUGUGUCGUAAGAUAAAAUGUGAGAUUUUGUUACGAAACAGUAAAUAGUUUCUGUCAAACACCUUUUCUAUGAUCUGAACCAUCCUCUUUGGUUCUGUUCUAUUCAAGUCGCUAGGAAUGUUAUUAUUAGUUUUAUGGGAGGAACAACAUGUGGGUAGAUUUGGUUUGUCUAUUCUUCAAACAAAUAGUCUUCUGUAUGCUUAGUAUUUUUUUUUCAUUGUUAGCAAGCCCUUUCCGAGGUAACAAGUUACAAGGAUUCAAAAUUUGUCGAGUUUGUUGACGACUGUUUAUUCUUCUAAUGUUUUUUGUUUUUUUGGAAGUUGGCUAAUAACAUGGGCUUGUAAAGUAUGUUAAAAAUUACCAUUGAGAUUUGCUAAGGCUACUAAGGCUGUUAAGAGUUUUGUUUGGUUAAGUAUUUUUUCCAGAAUAUGAUUAACUCUUUAACAACUUCCUUGAAGUUCAGACUUUAAAUUCCUUGUUAGCAUUCUGGUUGUAUUUUUUCCUUGUGAACUACUAUAACUAGAUAAUUUUUGGUGUAUCUUACCAAACCAUACAAAGAUUUAUGAGUUGUUCUUACUUGAGCAUUUAAGUUUGUUUGCUGCAUAACAUUAGUGACAAGUAUAAUAUUGUAGCUCCAUGUUUCGAAAGUUAAAGGAAGCGCACAAGAUUUGUUUAAUUUAUUUGAGGUUACUAAUUGAAUUCAUCUUUCAUUUAGAAGUAUCUGUUUCCAAGUUCCUAUGAUUGUACGCUUUCUUCUAGAUUAUAUGACGUUCAGUUAAGUUUUUGAUGUUACUGAUCAUUGAGAUUUGUACCUAAUCCUUUUCUUUUCUUUCUUUUCACAUGAACACCAUGGGAGUUUGUUGGAGUUGUGGCUCAACUCUAAUUCUGCCCAGGUCAUAGGAGCAGGCAGCAGUAGAUUUAUUUGCUCGUGUCUAACAUUCUUCGUUCGUGUCAAGCGUCCCUGUCUUCCUUCCUCUCUUUAAAUUUUGUGUCUUUGUGUUAUCAUAUAUAUACAUGUUUAUAUUCUUGACUAACAUUUUUUAUGGAUUGUAUUUGUAGCACAUUUUUUUCUCGCUUGUGUAGGAACUUACGGAAAAAUAGUUAAGUAUGAUGGUGAAUUUAGUCAUUUGCUUCCCUUCCCUUUUUAGACACCGAUCCCGAUUUACAGUGAAAGACGUUUCACUAAUCGUUUUAAGUGAUUGUCUCUUAGUAUAUUUCCAAGAUUCAAAUGAUCUUCCACAAAGAAAUAAGUUGAAGUUCUUUUUACGAGGCAACUGUUCUGAGUUAUGUAUCUAAGCCACACUUGAUUUCAUAAAGAAGUAACAAAUCUGAUUUCUUCACAAGCCUAUGGCUACUAACAUUUUUUAGACUCUUUGUGAUUCCCAAAAGAUAAGUUUAACAAUGCAGAUUUUCAGAAGGUUGAACAGAGUGAAGAUUGGGCAGCGUUCUUUCUAGUAAAUUUAAUCUAGGGGCCUAAGUGAUCUAACAUGAGACUCGGACUCUUUUUUUGUUUUCCAAAAUUGCUAUAAUACAAACCCAUGGAACAUGCCUAAUUCUUCAAGUUUAAAUGAAGAAAUUAUAUUAGAGCCGAAGUAUAGUGGCUCGAGCCAUUUUUCGAGAGCUAUAAGGUAAAUAUUCCAUUUUAUAUACACGCAUACAUAUAUAUACUAUCUUAUUUUCAGUAAUUCCUUUAAUUAUCUUUUCAUUAUGUGUAUAUAUAUAUUAUUUCCAUAUCACAAAAUAGCUAUUUUUGAACCAUUAUAUACAGUUUUUCAUAGGAUGUAAAUAUCGCACAUAUACAUUAUUUUCUAAAAAAUAUGCAUUCCUAAUCCUCCCAUUUUGUACUAUUGUAUACAAAAAUACAUCAUGAAUAUAUACGUAUAUGUUUACAUCUCAUGUAUACUAACUACUGCCUCUACAGUAAACAUACACAUGUACCAUUUUCAUAUACAUAUAUCACAUAUACUAUCUAAUUCUUUUACAUAUUACAUGUAUACAUUAUUUUCUUAUAAAAAAUAUAUCCCUCCUUAUUCUAUAUUAUACAUAUUAUUCUUAUAUAAAAUAAAUGUCACACAUAUUUUCCUCAUGCAUACAUUAGCAUUAACUACUUCCUUUAUAAAUAUGCAUUUACUCACAUCAUUAUAUUUACUUUAAAAAAGCCUUUUUUUUUUAUACAAAUAGUUUUGAAAGAGUAGUUUCUUUUUCUGCAAUUCUUUAAAUAGGUGAUAAUAAAUAAGAAAUAAUUAAAUAAUCCCGCUCUAGUGUUAAUUAAACUAAGUUUAAAGACUGUCUUCGGAUACGCUCUGAGGGAUGCUUAACACCUUCCCCUCGGGGUAAAUAAAACACUUACCUAGAACCUCACACGUUUCAAAGACUAAAAAAUGGAGUUUACAUUUUUACAAAUGGUUUCCUAAUAUUUCCUAAUAUUUCAAAACCAGAGGAAACAUAGUCAUAAGUUGUGAACUAGUUUUAAUCCGUUAAAAAUAGGGCAUAACACUUAUAUCAGAAAAUUGUUGCCCUAUUUUCUCAGUCGUUUCUCUCUCUUCUCUUCUUCUCUCUCUAGAAACUCCGGCCACAGUCCGAUGAUGUUGAACUACGAAAUCCCUUCUAAUGAUGUUGAGCUGAAGAAGGGAACGUCCCCUAUCUCUGUAUUGCCUUAGUUUUUUAUUUGCCUGUUGAAUGCUCCUGUGUUGGCUUUGAAAUUUGGAAAAUGAUGAAACCAGCUGAGAAAAGUCAUCUUCUUCUCUAAAUGGAUCUGAUUCCUUCAUCAUCUCUGCAAAUACCUUCAAUUUCAUGGUAAGUUCCUUUGUUCAUCAUCUCAGCUUGUUCUUAUACUUUCUCCACAGUAAAGUAAUUAUUUGGUCCUAUUUUGUGCUGCAUGUACACAUCUGAGCAAUGGACAUUGAUAACCACUAAAUGUUUAUUUGUGUACUUCUGAAGACCAACCCUCCCAGGUUGGUUUAUCUCCCUCCGAAAUUCACCUGUGUCAUGGAAAACCAAGAGCAACACAUCAUCUCCCGCUCGUCAACGAAGGCUGAAUACCGAUCGAUAGCAAUGGCCAUUUGUGAAUUGAAAUGGUUAAAGGGAAUUUUGCACAGUUUGGGCGUUGAACACAAGUCUCCGAUUAAAAUGUAGUGUGACAGUUAAGAAGCUUUGUACAUUGCACGAAAUGCGGUGUUUCAUGAACGGACUAAAUAUAUAGAAGUUGAUUGUCACUAUGUCCGGGAUGCACUCCAAUCCGGUAUAAUAUUCCCCAGUCAUGUGUCAACCAGCGAACAAUCGGCAGAUGUGUUUACAAAAGCUUUGGAAAAGUCACAGCAUGAAUAUUUACUUGGCAAGUUGGGCAUUCGAGACCCUCAUGCUCCAACUUUAGAGAAAAUCUGGCAUAGCUUUGUCUUACAAUGGAUAUAGAUACUUCUAAUGCUAAAUCGAUUACUCAAGGCUAAUCCAUUGGAAUAAUGAUCGUCAGGUUGCACGAUUGAUUCGAUUGUAAUAUCUUUCGACUAAUUGUCGUAUUGCUUGUUCAUAGGUUUUUUCUCAUCAACUAUUGUUACAUGCACGUAAUAUCAAUCCCGCUUAAGGAAAUUUUUUUCUUAAUCACAUAAAUUCUUUCUUAAAUUCAAAGAUUAAUUCCAUGUAUGCAUCUCAAUUCUCAAUUUCUGCUUCCUUUUUUAUUUUAAUAAAGUCAUGUCAAGUAUUUAAUCCUAAUUGCAGCCAGCCUUUGAAAAUUUUCUCUUAAUCUUUUGCAUUGUGAAAGACUGAUGUUUGCUUCAGAGUUCUAAAAGGAAAGUUUAAAUUGCAUUUUUUAAAUUGUAUUUUGUAAAACAUAUUGAUUUUUCUGCU